GGAUGUAAGAUAGCUCAAACCUCAGCUGCAAUAGUCCAUUGUUAGAUUUUUGGACAAUAGACUGAGGAACUGAACCUGUAAGCUUGUUUCCGGAUAAAUUUAGAAUAGUUAAAUUUGUCAGUUGCGCUAAAAAUUCUGGAAUGGUUCCUGUCAGUUCAUUGCCUGAUAAAUCUAAGAACUGUAUCGCUUUGAAAUUGGAAAAUGAGGAAGAAAUCUUUCCUGUCAAUUUACUUGCACUGAGGUU
rnacentral:misc_RNA from 1 species